UUAGGCUUUAGAGUUAAGGGGUAGAGAUUUGGGUUUGAGGUUUAAAAUUUUAUAUAAUAGAAAAUAAAUGUUAAAAAUUUAAAAAUAAAAAUUUUAAAAACAGUUUCAAAAAGUAUUUUCGAAUUACAAAAAUAAAAUUUUAAAAAAAAAUUUCAAAAAAACAUUAUAAUAAAAAAUUAUAAAAAAGUUUGAAUUUGAAAACAUAUAAUCUAAAACUAUAUAAAAAUUAUUUUUUAUUUUUUUUUAUAUCUAAAGUAUUAGUGUACUUUUACCUAUUAAAUUAAACGUUUUGGUUAUUUUCCUUUCUUGUGGUCUAUUUUUGUGACUAAAACUUGAAAAUUGUCUAUUUAUCAGAAUUUCCCAAUAAAGAAUUACCCAUAACUUUUUUUUUUUUUUUUUGCAGGGAAGCAGCCGAACUAAUUGAAGAGAUCGCCAAGAAUGUCUUUGAGAAGCUCAAUCCAACGGAAAAUAUUGGGAUACACACGCAGUUACGAGUGCUAGAAAACUUGCUAUGCAAGCAACCAUGGGGCUUUCGUUCUAUAGGCAUUUUAGGCAAGCCUGGGAUAGGCAAAACGACGUUUGCUGAAGCAGCCCUUCGAAGAAUGCGCGAUGGCUAUGAUGUUCCUCGCUUUAUCAGAGAAUGCAAUAACAAGAUCACUGAGCAUUUUUCUGAUGAAGACUUUCAAGAGAUCUCAGUGGAAAAGUUUGACCUAAACAAUCAAGAUGCCGGGCCAUGCCAUCGUCAAAAAAGACUUCUCUAUUAUCUCUCAAGGUCGCAGGUAACAAGAACUCAAGAACACGUUUAAUAAGUAUCAACUUCUUAUUAAUCAAUCAAAGGAUAAAAUUCACUCAAAACCUUUCAAUCACAAUCACUCAGAACUCACAGCUUUAACCACAACUCGGUAAUAGCUUAUAUAGAACUUUAGGAAACUCCUAAUCCUAUAAGACAUAACAAAACACAUAUCCUAAUCACUUUAGGAAACCAAAUCUUUAUGUGAUUAGGUAGCUUGCAUCUUAAGCUACUUCAAGCUUAUCCCAACAUUCUCCCCCUUAAGCUUGAAGUUAUCUUCACUCACCAUUAGAACACCAAUCAUCUUCCUCAUUUCAACAAACUUGAUUCUUCCAAGAGACUUCGUUAGUAUAUCCGCUCGUUGUUCACUACCCGGAACAUGCUCGACUUCUACUUGAUUAUUCUCAACACAUUCUCUAAUAAAAUGGAACCUUCUAUGAAUGUGCUUGCUUCUUCCAUGAAACACUGGAUUCCUAGAAAGAGCAAUUGCAGAUUUGUUAUCGACUUUUAUAACAACUUUCUUGCUUGGUUGGCCAAUGACUUCUCCCAAAAGCUCCUGAAGCCAUAUCCCUUGCUUGGCUGCUUCUGUAGCCGCCAUAAACUCGGCCUCACAGGAAGACAACGCUACGAUCUCUUGUUUACAUGAACACCACGUUAUAGGACUCUUAUUUAAGUAGAACACAUGUCCCGUAGUGCUUUUGCCAUCAUCAUCAUCAACAUUGUGUGAACUGUCACUGAAACCCAAUAGCUCCAAACCCGCAGACUGUGUAAAUGCAAGACCGAACUCAAUAGUACCUCGUAGAUAACGCAUUACCUGUUUCAGAGCAGCACCAUGCAAGACCUUAGGAUCCUGCAUGUAUCGGCUCAAUACUCCUACGCUGAAAGACAGGUCCGGACGCGUGUGGAGCAAGUAUCGAAGACAACCAAUGCUUCUUCUGUAAUCUCUCGCAUUUACACUUUUCUCCUCAACUGAUUUUGAUAGCUUAACAUUAAAAUCCAUAGGUAUAGCUGUCGAGUUGCAGGCGUCCAUACCGCAAUCUUCAAGUAUCUUUCGGGAGUAUCUAUCCUGUUUCAAAGUAAUACCUUCUUUGCUUUGACAUACUUCAAUUCCUAGAUAAUACGUCAGCUUCCCGAGAUCACUCAUCUCAAAUUUCGUUGCCAUCUCCUUUUUAAAACGAUUAAUAGAUUGCACUGAUGUUCCUGUGACCAAAAGGUCGUCAACAUAUACCACAACAACAAGCGUUUCAUUCUUUUCUUCCUUUCGGUACAACGAUGGUUCUUUUGAACACCUAUGGAACUUGAGUUCCCUUAAGAUCUUGUUGAGUUUGGUAUUCCAAGCCCUAGGUGCUUGUUUCAACCCAUAGAGUGCCUUUCUCAAUUUGUAGACUUUAUCCUCUUUUCCCGCAACUUCAAAUCCCUCAGGUUGAACCACAAAUACUUCUUCUUUUAGUUCACCAUGUAGGAAUGCAGUUUUAACAUCAAGAUGAUGUAUUUCCCAUCCCUUUGCAGCAGCAACGGCAAUAACCAAACGGAUAGUCUCCAUACGAGCUACAGGCGCGAAAACCUCGUCAUAAUCAACUCCUUGCUUCUGCACAUAGCCCUUUGCAACCAACCGAGCUUUAUAUUUUAUAAUAGUUCCAUCAGCGUUCCUCUUGAUUUUAAACACCCAUUUCAAACCUAUGGGUUUAACUCCCACAGGAAGAUCAACAAGCUCCCAUGUAUUAUUUUUUUCAAUACUAAAGAUCUCAUCUGCACAAGCAUCAAUCCAUACUUUCAACUCCUUAGCUUCAGUGAAGUCCCAAGGUUCAUCAUUCACAAUCGUUAGAAGACGCUCACACUCUGCUUCGGCUAUAAGAACAUAGUCGCCGAGAUAACCAGGUAAUGUACUAAUCCUCGAUGAUCUCCUCAGCUGUGGUUGUUCUUCUUGAUCAUUACUAUUGUUAUCGUCAUCAUCGUCAUCAUCUUCUUCGUCUAUAUUAUCAGUUUGGACAUUACUCUCUGUCUCAUCCUCUGUUUGAGUCACGUCACCAAUUUUCUUGAACUUAACCGUGAAGCUUCCUCCAUCGACAUUGUCCUCACCAGACUCGUUAUUAGACCAGUUCCAUCCUUUACUCUCAUCAAAGAUAACAUCACGGCUGACUACUAUUUUCUUCUUAGUAGGAUCAAGUAAACGAUAGGCUUUAGAGCCUGGUUCUGUUCCAAGAUGGACGAGAACCUUAGACCUAUCAUCAAGCUUUUUCCUUCCCACCAUAGUAGUCUUGGCGUAACACACACAUCCGAACACUCUAAGGUGUGCAACAUUAGGUAUUUUAUUUCUCAAAGCUUCGUAUGGGGUCUUGCCGUCUAGAGUCUUUGUUGCGACUCUAUUGAUCAAAUAAGUAGAGUGUCGAACAGCUUCGCCCCAUAAUAUAUUAGGUACCCUCAUGUGCUUCAGUAUGCUCCUAGUCAUCUCUAGAAGGGUUCUGUUACGUCUCUCUACAACCCCAUUCUGUUGAGGAGAAUAUGGAGCAGUUAAGUGCCUAUUAAUACCAUUCUCAUCGCAAUAGGCACGGAACUCCUUGGAGCAAAAUUCUCCUCCUCUAUCUGAUCGAAACGUCUUUAGCACGGCUUUUGUAUCACUUUCAGCUAGUUUCUUAAAGGUUUUAAACUUUUCAAAAGCUUCGCUUUUCUCCUGUAACAACAUGGUCCACAUAUAACGAGUACAGUCAUCGAUUAAUACAAACACAUAUCUUUUUCCAGCUGGGGUUGGCGGUGUGAUAGGCCCGCAGAGAUCGCCAUGAACAAGCUCCAGAGGAUGAGUAGCUCGAUAUGUAGUUGCUUGAGGAAAAGAUUUCCUUGCUUGCUUUCCAAGGAGACAGGACAUACAUGUUUCCUUCUCAAUGGUUAAUGUAGGUAUGCCAGUUACUCGUUCCUUAUUGAUCAUUGCCUUCAUAGUAUCACCAUUAAUGUGUCCAAGUCGUGCAUGCCAUCUUGAGGUCUCAGAAGUAUGGCUAGAGAUCUGCAGACAGUCUUGAGUUUCUACCUCAAGAAUAACCUUGUAUAACCUGUUUCUGGAUCGACUUGAUUUCAUCAUGAGCUUUCCAUAUCGAUCAUACAGCAUAAGCGCGUCUCCUCUCAUACUAACUUCACAGCCGGCUUCGGUGGCUUGACCCAAGCUGACUAUGUUACUCUUCAAUCCCGGAAUGUAGUACACAUUACUCAAGACCUUUUUCUCUCCUCCUUUAAACACGAAUUGAAUAGAUCCUUUCCCCUUUAUAUCAAUACGAGAAUCAUCUCCAAAUCUUACUUUUCCCGUGAUUGUUUCAUCAAGUGUGACAAAGAAUAUUCUGUUACCGCUCAUGUGGUUGCUUGCUCCAUUAUCAAGGUACCAGACGUUCUUCGUAUCAAGAUUGGUAUCAAAUAUAUUUGGGUUGACAUUCUUCUCAUUCAGAUAGACCACUUCAUGCAUCAUUAGUUCAUCAGCCUCUUGUGUUUCCUCAGUCUUGGUUUCAACUGUUUCUUGGAGCUUAAGGGUUUUAUCAGGACAAUCUGACGCAUAAUGUCCUUGCUUGUCGCAGUUAAAACAUGUGAUGUGUGAUAGAUCACGUCCUUGCCCUUGCCUGUACGCAUCUCGCUGGCUGUGAAAGUUCCCAGUUCUUCCACGACCUCUUCCUCUCCAUCCAGAGCGUCCUCCUCGUCCUCUUCCUCUGGCUCCUCCAGAGUUAGUGUAACUAUUUUGAUGUUGAUCGGAGUUUGCCCACAUCAGUUUUUCUUGUUCUUCUGGAUGUUCAUCAUCUUCUUCACAGAUUCUUUCUUCAUACGCCUUCAGUCUUCCAACAAUAUCUUCAAAGCUUGUUGUGUUUAAAUCAAGAACUUGCUCAAGAGAGGCGACAAUAUGAAUAUAUCUCUUUCUAGGUAAGCUUUUCAGAAACUUCUUUACCAAUUUUGGUUCUUCUAUUAUCUCCCCUAAUGAUGCAGACUUAGAUGAGAUUUCUGAUAAUUUCCCAACAAACGUAUCAAUUUUAUCUUCGUCUUUCAUCUUCAGUCUAUCGAACUCGGCCAUUAACGUUUGUAAUCUAGCUUCUUUUACUCUCUCAGCUCCAACAUGCCUAGUUUUUAUUGCAUCCCAUACCGCUUUUGCUGUGUCUAAAUCGCCAACUUGCAAGAUCAUAGCUUCGGGUAUGGACUGAAACAGAAACGCGAUAGCCAUAUUGUUUUUCCCUUCAUCCUUGUUUCCAGGUUCGAUUGUUUCCCAAACCUUACUGACUUUCAGUGCUAUCUUCAUUCUCAUGGCCCAGACGGUGUAGUUGGAAGUGGUUAGCAUUGGGAAUUUGAUGGAGGAGGGUCCGGUCUUUAUGUCACCCAUGGGCUCGGUCUUCACGUCGUCACUCAUGGCGGUAAGCAAACGGAUUCACAGAACUUAAUGUAAGGCUCUGAUACCAAAUAUUAUCUCUCAAGGUCGCAGGUAACAAGAACUCAAGAACACGUUUAAUAAGUAUCAACUUCUUAUUAAUCAAUCAAAGGAUAAAAUUCACUCAAAACCUUUCAAUCACAAUCACUCAGAACUCACAGCUUUAACCACAACUCGGUAAUAGCUUAUAUAGAACUUUAGGAAACUCCUAAUCCUAUAAGACAUAACAAAACACAUAUCCUAAUCACUUUAGGAAACCAAAUCUUUAUGUGAUUAGGUAGCUUGCAUCUUAAGCUACUUCAAGCUUAUCCCAAC
rnacentral:lncRNA from 1 species